AACGUAGGACGCAAGCGUUAUCCGGAGUUACUGGGCGUAGAGCGCGGGUAGGCGGCUCGAUGCGUCUGAUGUGAAAUCUCCUCGCUCAACGGGGAGAGGCCAUUGGAAACGGUCGGGCUGGAGGGCAGUAGAGGCAGGCGGAAUUCCGGGUGGAGUGGUGAAAUGCGUAGAGAUCCGGAGGAACACCAGAGGCGAAGGCGGCCUGCUGGGCUGCACCUGACGCUGAGCCGCGAAAGCCAGGGGAGCGAACGGG
rnacentral:rRNA from 1 species